UUCGAGAUCGGCAAUGGACUCUGCCUGACCCGAACAAGGUCGAACCGCCCGCAAGGGCUGAUGAUUCCUACCUCGCC
rnacentral:ncRNA from 2 species